rnacentral:tRNA from 1 species
GCGCGUAUCGUCUAGAGGCCUAGGACACCGCCCUUUCACGGCGGUAACCGGGGUUCGAAUCCCCGUACGCGUA